GUGUAAAAAUAUUUUCAAUAUUUUUUUUAAUAACUAUGAAAAUGCCCAAUAUGAAGAGGGGGCAAAAUUUCAAUCUAGUGACUAGGUCAAGUGGGGGGUCAAUUUGAAAGAGCUCAAAUUGAACAUCCAAAACAAAUUUAUAUUAUUUUUUCGUACUUAGUGAUAAAAAAUGAUUUAUGAAGGGAAAUGUAAAAAAAAAAAUCAACCCCCCCCCCCCUUAUCUCCGAAGUUUACCCCUAAGGAAUUCUUGCAUAAUGUUAACAUUACUAUAAAUUUUACAGGAAAAAUAUAAUGAUAUCUCUAUCUUGAUAACUUUUUUGUAACUAACAAAAACAUUUCUGAAUUCAGUUUGCAAUUUAACUAGCUUUACGUGUGUUUAUUACACUUGAAAUUUGUAUGAGAUAACAUUAAAGACACCUCUCAAAUAAAAUAAAAAAAAAACAAUUUUAGAAAUCAGUUCACACGACAGAGGAUUAUCCUCGAAAAACCAACAUAGUGCAUUAGUUAGACAAUUUGCCGAUAGAUGGCGCGUUACACAAUGUGAUCAAAACUAUCAAAAGCCUUUAUAGUUACUCGUACACGAGAUAACUCAAAGUUUGUACGGAACCCUCGGUGCGCGAUUAAUUAAAACGAACUCGCACUUUGCCGGUUUUUUUUUGUAUUUUCACAGUGCCUUGGUUUUACUGCAAUGCUGUGUUAUUUAUUUGGCUAAUAAAAUAAAAUACUGCAGCAUUAUUGCUGCUGUAGUCUGAACCCGAACGGUACCUUAAAUGCAAAAAAUCGAUUUAAUACAUGAUUGCCACGAAUUUUGCCAACUUCCGGUAUGAAAGGUAAACAUCCGUUUAUUAUAAAACGAAUUAAUAAAAUUAUAUUUUCAGUGUUUUCGUAAACAUGUAUGACUGCAAAUGUACGGUUCUGAUUGUAGUGUUUUUGGCGGCAUACUGGAAAUAUUCCUUGGUAAGUCUCAAAAGGGAAAUGCUUUAUACUUCAGUAAAAAAAGCAGAAUCAUUAAUUUAUUUAACAUACAAUAAUUAUAUUAUUUUAAAUAUACUUCAAAUUAAUAACGUAAACUUAAGACCCUUAGGUCUUAUAAAUACAUGUGUACAAAACGUCCUCCAAAUCGCAGCCGAUGGUAUAAGUGUGCCCAGAUAACUGGCCGCAUUGACACUAUGAAUGGCAGUGCUCAUACGCUGAGCGAAAUACUGGCCUGCCUUCUGGUCACUUGUUGGGAAUAAAAAUCCCAGUAGUUCGUAUCACCAACCCAGUUAGGUUUGGUUUGGUGGUAACUAGUGGGAAUUUUUUUCCAGUACCUAGUUACCACUGGUAAAAGGUGGGAAAAAAAAUCCCAGUAGUUACCACUGGUAACAAUUUGAUGAUAACUAGUGGGAAUAACCCGACGUUUCGACCAAAUGCCCCAAAAAUGUGCUUAGAGGUUUAAUAAGUUACGGGAUAUAAUAUGUAUUUCUAUAAUUUUAAUUAAUAAAUUACUGAAGUCAUUAAUUCAUUCAUUCACUUAUUUAAAAACGAAUGAAUGGUAAGAAAAUAAUGAAACGUAGCGGGAAUAAUCGGGACCUUUGAGCCAGGGCCGAUUAUUUUAGAUUUAGUUUUAUAGGUUGUAAUGGUUGUAGCUUCAAUGAUAUUUUAUUUAUAUUUAAUUUUAAUGGCAGAAUCUACAAGUGAUACCCGAGCGAGCUACGAUAAGAUACAUAAAUGAAAAGUACAUUCAGAACGCAAGCGUUGUUGUAAAGAGGUACGGAAGAAAAAGUGGAUACUACAUCAACGUUGAGAGUACCACUUUGAUGGAAUUCGGAAACAAUGUGUCGGUAAAUAUCAUUUAUAAUCUGAAAUAUUUUAUGUAUAUUAACUAUAUUCUAAUAUUUACAAUAUGUAAGCGUGGCCAGCAAAAAGAAUUAAAAAAUCUAAGAGCAUAUCGGGCCAUGCUCCGUGUAGGGUUCCGUAGUUACUAUUCUGUCAGAACAGGCCAAACCGGGACUAUUAUUAAGUAUCAUUGACAUUACAAGCACUUUUUACUAAUAAGAGCACUUUUUACUAAUAAGAGAUCUUUUGCAAUAACUCAAAAAACGGCUGGACCGAUCGUUUUUGCUAUAGUUUUCAUUGAAAGUAUUUAUAAAGCUUUUGUUUCACGAUUUUUUACAUAUUUUUGGACCCAUGGCUCAAAAGUUAGAGGGAAGGGGGACACAUAUUAUUUUUCUUUGAUAGCGAUUAUUUAUGAAAAUUUUCACUUUAUCAAAAAAUGGUUGUUGGAGAUCCGUAUUCGUUUUAAAAGACCUAUCGAAAUGUAAAGCUAAUAAAAUAUUUCAAAAGAAAUCUUUUUGUAUGGGACGUCUGCAAUUUUUUUUUCUAGUUUUUUACUGUUCUGUCGCCAUGCAUUAUUUAUGUAUCCAUGCCAAAUUGCAGCUUUCUAGCACUAACGAUCACGGAGCAAAGGCGUCCAGUCUCCUAAAUUAUCAAUAAUAGCUUGGUAUCUUUGAGUCAACUAAAUUGAGUCAACGGACAGCAGAGUCUUAGUAAUAGGGUCCUGUUUUACCCUUUGGGUACGGAACCCUAAAAAGUAGCCCAGUCGGUCUGUACUAAGCUAGAGACCUCUAAUAAUUGUUUGAUUUCAGUUGAACUUAAUCUUCUUCGAAUUCCUACAUAACGAAUACAAACGCAGUUUUGUAGAAAUGAAGUUUGAGAAGAUUUGCGACUCCAUAGAAAAAGAUCCUUAUGUUGGAAGAACUGUUAAAAUGGCUGGUUUGCGGUGCCCGAUACCGACGGGCCACAAUAAGCUGAUGAACAUGUCAGUGCCCUCGCAAGACUUUCCAAAUGUCUGGCCAUUUGAGAGAUGUAAAGUCGAAGCCACACUUUUACAGAAUAAGAACCAAGAUAUCAUGGCUAAUAUAGAUGUAUAUGUUCAGUUCAAAAAUAAAAUUAGGUUAAACAAGGGUAGAAAUUAAGCAAAGUGAUUUUACAGUACAUAUGGUUCUACUUUCCCGCACGCAUGAGGGAAUGGAGCACUUUCCGUGCAUAUGUCGAAACUUUAGAGAGCCAUAGGUAGGUAAUGUUUUGACAUUGUGUUUGGUAUGAUUAUUAUUAUCUGACAUUUUAUUUUACUGUAUUUAACUUUUAAUUUUUUAUUAUGAUUAUUUGAUUUUUUUUUCUUUAAUACUUAAUAAUUUU